UUUGAGCCCUUAGGUAUUAAACCGAUAAACCGCCCAGUAACCGCCCGAUAAGAGCUAACCCGAUACCAAUCCGCCCGAUAUCUUAUCGGGUGGCAAUGAAUACAUUUAAAAGCCGAUAACCAUUAAGCCAAACCGUUAGAGUAAAAAGCCGCCCAAUCCGCCCAAUGAACACCCCUAGGUCACAUGAAAUGCACACCCGAGUUUAGGAAUGUAAUCUUUUUAAAAUCGUGCCUAAAGUGGCUAACACGUUAUUGUCUUUUGGGAAGGCCGUCAAAUUUGCUAAACGGCCCAUCCCGAGCUUCUAAGUAUUUUAAUAAUCAUUUAUUGAGGGACCCACAAUUUUAUAUUUUUAUUGGGCGAGGCUCGUCUCAUUUAUUUUAAAAGGGCAAUCCUAAAGCAACUAUAUUUUCCUAUUUUCGUUUUGCCUCUAAAAGAAAAGAUCCUAAUUAAUUAAUAUUAAAGUCCGGGCUUCAAGUUCAAGUUCAGGUCCAAACAAAAGGAAGAACCUUUUAAUUUGAACCCUCUACCUAACUUGAAACCCAAACUUAUAUUGUUGCUUUAAACUUGAAUUGAACUUCUUUCCUGAGCCCAAAUUGUGGGCCUACCGAACUGGGCUUGAAGUGGGCAUAGGUCCAAAGCCGGCCAUACUAUAUGGAAGAAACAGAGGGAUCGAAUCCCAGGAGGAGCAGACCAACGAAUUAUUCAAGCAUUCAAACAUCUAUUUUACAUUUUUAAAACCGUGAUCCUAUUUUCCUGGAUCCCUGAUUCAUUAGUGUAUAUUUCAAAAGUUAAAAAAACUAAUCCAAACUAAUCAUUAAUAAGUGAACUGGACUAUGAGAACGAGCCAUAUGGAAAUCAAAAUAAUUUGGAAAGCAUUUUUACAGGCAUUGAAAUCAAAACUAAUCUUGACCACUUAACAAUUGAAGACUUGUUAUGAAAUAAUAUAAGAACAAGAACAAUAGAGAGAAAAGUAGAGAGAGGAGUAU
rnacentral:lncRNA from 1 species